rnacentral:sRNA from 1 species
GGGUGUGAAAGGCAGCGGUGGCCACAGAGGCGGUGGAGAGAUGGCCUUCAGCGGUUCCCAGGCUCCCUACCUGAGCCCAGCCGUCCCCUUUUCUGGGACUAUUCAAGGAGGUCUCCAGGACGGACUUCAGAUCACUGUCAAUGGGACCGUUCUCAGCUCCAGUGGAACCAGGUUUGCUGUGGACUUUCAGACUGGCUUCAGUGGAAAGGACAUUGCCUUCCACUUCAACCCACGGUUUGAAGACAGAGGGUACGUGGUAUGCAACACGAGGCAGAAUGGAAGCUGGGGGCCCGAGGAGAGGAAGACGCACAUGCCCUUCCAGAAAGGGAUGCCCUUUGACCUCUGCUUCCUGGUGCAGAGCUCAGAUUUCAAGGUGAUGGUGAACGGGAGCCUCUUCGUGCAGUACUUCCACCGCGUGCCCUUCCACCGUGUGGACACCAUCUCCGUCAAUGGCUCUGUGCAGCUGUCCUACAUCAGCUUCCAGACCCAGACAGUCAUCCACACAGUGCAGAGCACCCCUGGACAGAUGUUCUCUACUCCUGCCAUCCCACCUAUGAUGUACCCCCACCCCGCCUAUCCGAUGCCUUUCAUCACCACCAUUCCGGGAGGGCUGUACCCAUCCAAGUCCAUCAUCCUGUCGGGCACUGUCCUGCCCAGUGCUCAGAGGUAAGCCAAGGGCUCCAGUGACCUCUGGGAAGAGAAAGCCCUUCAA